GCAGUCAAUCCAGAAACCCUAGACCGAAAACCAGGGUGCGGAGGCCUCCAAAAUGGUUCAGCGGCUCACUUACCGCUCGCGUCACAGCUACGCCACCAAGUCCAACCAGCACCGCGUCGUCAAAACCCCCGGAGGGAAGCUUGUUUAUCAAACCACGAAAAAGAGAGCCAGUGGACCCAAAUGACCUGUUACCGGCAAGAGAAUU